CGGAAUGUGGCGCAGAUGGUAGCGCGCACGGUUCGGGACCGUGAGGCCCCGGGUUCAAGUCCCGGCAUUCCGACCA
rnacentral:tRNA from 1 species